UACGUAGGGGGCUAGCGUUGCUCGGAAUCACUGGGCGUAAAGCGCACGUAGGCGGUUUGCUAAGUCAGGGGUGAAAUCCUGGAGCUCAACUCCAGAACUGCCUUUGAUACUGGCGAUCUCGAGUCCGGGAGAGGUGAGUGGAACUGCGAGUGUAGAGGUGAAAUUCGUAGAUAUUCGCAAGAACACCAGUGGCGAAGGCGGCUCACUGGCCCGGUACUGACGCUGAGGUGCGAAAGCGUGGGGAGCAAACAGG
rnacentral:rRNA from 1 species